GACGAACGCUGGCGGCGUGCUUAACACAUGCAAGUCGAACGGAAAGGCCCUGCUUUUGUGGGGUGCUCGAGUGGCGAACGGGUGAGUAACACGUGAGUAACCUGCCCUUGACUUUGGGAUAACUUCAGGAAACUGGGGCUAAUACCGGAUAGGAGCUCCUGCUGCAUGGUGGGGGUUGGAAAGUUUCGGCGGUUGGGGAUGGACUCGCGGCUUAUCAGCUUGUUGGUGGGGUAGUGGCUUACCAAGGCUUUGACGGGUAGCCGGCCUGAGAGGGUGACCGGCCACAUUGGGACUGAGAUACGGCCCAGACUGGUACGGGAGGCAGCAGUGGGGAAUAUUGCACAAUGGGCGGGAGCCUGAUGCAGCAACGCCGCGUGCGGGAUGACGGCCUUCGGGUUGUAAACCGCUUUCGCCUGUGACGAAGCGUGAGUGACGGUAAUGGGUAAAGAAGCACCGGCUAACUACGUG
rnacentral:rRNA from 1 species